rnacentral:ncRNA from 1 species
UUUCCACCUAUGGUAACGCGGGUCUCCUAAGGUGACCUCAGGGAGGUCAGAAACCUCCGUGAAGCAUAAGGGCAAAAGCUCACUUAAUCUUGAUUUUCAUUACUAAUACAGACCAUGAAAGUGAGGCCUCACAAUCCUUCUGACCUUUUGGGUUUUAAGCAGGAG